UCUCUCUCUCUCUCUCUCUCUCUCUAUCGCGAUCGCGCCGCUCAUCGCCUCUCCCACUCUCCUCCCCCCUCCCGCGCCUCUCCCCUCUCCCUCGAUUUCUCGCGCUUCCUCCGUGCUCUUGGAGCUCGCCCUUCGCCCUCGCCCUCGCCCUCGCCCUCGGCCCGAUCGCGCUCUCGGGGCCCCCUUUUCUCAAAGAGGGAGGGUGUUUUGGGAUCCCAAUCCGAGGGCUUCGGAGAUCCCGAAUCGCGAUUCAAACGAGGUUUACCCCAGAAACCAGACUCUUGGGGAGGUCAUACAUGUGUUCUGCUAGUUAUCAAUGUUUGCCAGGAGAAUUCUUAUGGUGUGCUUUUUUUUCUAUCUGAAAAGUGAUUAGCAGAGAUCUUCCGGUUAUAGAGUGUAAUUGUUUAAUUUAUAUGCAUUUACACAUGAAAUGGGGUCUCGUGGAAGGCUAUUAUUUGAUCUCAAUGAACCCCCUGCUGAGGAGGAAGAUGAGAAAAAUGGUGUCAUCGUGUCCCAGCCCCAGAAGUCACUUCCCAAUUCAAAUACUCGCCCCUCAAAUUUAUUUUCGUUGCCUGAUGGUUGUCAACGGAUAGUAAAUAACCAUCCUUUUACACAUGCUUCUUCUGGUUCUGUCUUUCAGCCUUUUGUCAGGAAUAAAGAUUCGCAGAUCCUAAAGGAGUCUAAAAAGAAAGAAAAUGACUUGAGUGCCAAUAGAGCCUCAACAUCGACGACAACUAGUCAUGUUACCAAUUACAAAGCACAUGUUGCAUCAAUGAAUCAUGAAGCUCAGACUGUUGAUAGAGAAGAAGGAGAGUGGUCUGAUUUGGAUGGCAAUUCUGACGCAGCUGGAAGUAAUAUUAGCAAUAGAGAUGAGAUGGAUGGUACUGAAGUUGCUCAAAAUAAUAAAGGAACAGAAGAAAGUGAACCUGAUUCUGCAAAGUCUGAUGAUGUUACUAAAGAUGAUCCUACUGGUAUUGGACAUAGCAAUAGUGAAAUUGUAGAUGCUUCUAGAGAUACAAGAGUUCUUGGCCUGUUGGGAUCAGAGAGCAACAAGAACUUAGAAUAUGGCUCUAAAGGUUUAUCUGCAGAUGGUGCAGAUGGCGUUGAGGAACCUCCUGCCAUGGGAAAAUCAAAAGAUGUCAAAGGAGUUGAAGCAAAUUAUGCAUUAAAAUUUGCAAAUUAUCCUACAAAGAGACCUAAACUUGACGAGCACAAGGAGGCAAUGUUAGGGAAAAAAAGAGCCAGACAGACUGUUUUUAUUAAUGUGGAGGAUGCUAAACAAGCAGGCUCUAUAAAAACUUCAACACCAAGGAGGCAAUCAUCAUUUCCUGCUCCUAUUAUUACUCGUACAGUGAAAGAAGGGUCUCGUGCUAGCACUAGUGUUGCUGAAUGGACAGCAGAAAGGCAGAGUCCGUUUAUUAACAAGGAUCAAAAGCAAUCUGAAAUGCUGGGGUCUGAAGAAAGUAUUUUUGCAGAUCCAGGUGACCAAAAGGCUGAAUCAAAUGGUGACUUUGAUUUUGGAUCUCAAACUCGAUCCAAGAGGACAAACAAUACUGAAUUUCCUUUAGAAGGGAAUCCAACAACCGUUCCAAGACAGGGUUCAUGGAAGACACUAGAUUCUAAGCAGUUUAAGAAUCCACCUGCUUCAUCAAGGAAACCAGUUGCAGCAGGUCAAACUAUCCCAGAUCAAAAACCAGGAAACAAAAAACACCUAUCUUCCAAAAAGCAGGUUUCAAAUAACCUACAGUAUCAAGAUACGUCAGUGGAACGGCUUUUGCGAGAAGUGACAAAUGAUAAAUUCUGGCACCAUCCAGAGGAGACUGAGCUUCAAUGUGUUCCUGGAAGCUUUGAGUCUGUUGAGGAGUAUGUGAGAGUGUUUGAGCCUUUGCUUUUUGAGGAAUGCCGAGCUCAACUGUACAGCACAUAUGAGGAACUUCUCGAGUCUGUGUCUAGGGAUGCACAUAUUAUGGUUCGUGUGAGAACUGUGGAGAGACGAGAAAGAGGAUGGUAUGAUGUCAUAGUUCUUCCAGUACAUGAAUGCAAGUGGACUUUUAAGGAAGGUGAUGUUGCCGUUAUAUCAUCCCCUCGUCCUGGUUCAGUUGUCCAAUCAACCAGAUCAGGUAGGAGGAGCAACAAUUUGAUGGAAGAAGAUACAGAAAUAGAGGCUACUUCUGGAAGAGUUGCUGGUACAGUCAGGCGACAUACACCUAUUGAUACGCGUGAUCCACUGGGAGCAAUUCUUCAUUUUUAUGUUGGGGAUUCAUGCGACUCUACUAGCAAGGUGGGUGAUGAUCAUAUCCUGAAGAAGCUUCAACCUAAAAGCACGUGGUAUCUAACCGUUCUAGGGUCUCUUGCGACAACUCAAAGGGAAUACGUUGCUCUGCAUGCAUUUCGGCGUCUUAACUUGCAGAUGCAAACUGCAAUUCUUAAACCCAGUCCUGAACACUUUCCCAAGUAUGAAGAUCAGCCUCCCGCUAUGCCUGAUUGCUUCACUCAAAAUUUUGUGGACCAUCUUCACCGGACCUUUAAUGGCCCACAGUUGGCUGCUAUUCAGUGGGCUGCAAUGCAUACUGCGGCUGGUACAAGCACUGGAGCGGCGAAGAGGCAAGAUCCUUGGCCUUUCACGCUAGUUCAAGGUCCACCAGGAACCGGAAAGACACACACAGUGUGGGGGAUGCUUAACGUGAUACAUCUUGUUCAGUAUCAGCAUUAUUACACUGCUCUGCUCAAGAAACUUGCUCCUGAGAGCUACAAGAAUGCUAGCAGUGGCAGUUCUGAGUGUGUUGGGGCAGGAUCUAUUGACGAAGUUUUGCAGAGUAUGGACCAGAACCUUUUCCGCACUCUGCCAAAGCUUUGCCCCAAGCCAAGGAUGCUCGUCUGUGCCCCGUCUAAUGCUGCCACGGAUGAGCUGUUGGCUCGUGUCCUUGAUCGCGGCUUCAUUGACGGAGAAAUGAAGGUCUAUCGGCCAGAUGUUGCCCGAGUGGGGGUUGAUUCACAAACUCGUGCAGCUCAGGCAGUUUCUGUUGAGCGAAGAACUGAGCAGCUUCUGCUAAAGGGCCGUGAGGACGUUAUUGGUUGGCUGCAUCAGUUGAAAGUGCGUGAACAGCAGAUCUCGCAACAGAUUGCCAUUUUACAGAGAGACCUAAGUGUGGCAGCCGCAGCGGGGCGCGCCCAAGGUUCUGUUGGUGUUGAUCCUGAAGUCCUUGCUGCUCGGGACCAUAGCCGCGAUGUUUUACUUCAGAGCCUUGCUGCUGCCGUGGAGACUAGGGAUAAAGUUUUAGUUGAGAUGUCACGCCUCCUUAUUCUUGAGAGCAAGUUCCGUCCUGGAGGCAACUUUAAUUUGGAAGAAGCUCGUGCCAACCUCGAAGCUACUUUUGCCAAUGAAGCAGAGAUCGUUUUCACUACAGUGUCGAGCAGUGGCCGCAAGUUGUUCUCUCGCCUGACUCAUGGCUUUGAUAUGGUUGUUAUCGAUGAAGCCGCCCAGGCCAGUGAAGUAGCUGUCCUUCCUCCGCUUUCGCUUGGUGCCGCAAGGUGCGUUUUGGUUGGUGAUCCCCAGCAACUCCCUGCAACCGUCAUUAGUAAAGCAGCCGGAACUUUGCUCUAUAGUAGAAGUCUUUUUGAGAGAUUCCAACAAGCAGGUUGUCCUACAAUGUUGUUAUCUGUGCAGUACAGAAUGCAUCCUCAAAUUCGUGAUUUUCCAUCGAGAUAUUUCUAUCAAGGUCGCCUUACGGAUAGCGAAAGUGUUGCCAACUCGCCAGAGGAAGCCUACUAUAGAGAUGCUUUAUUGAAGCCUUAUGUAUUUUAUGACGUUGUACAUGGUCGGGAAUCCCACAGAGGGGGAUCAGUCUCAUACCAGAAUAUUCAUGAAGCACAGUUCACUUUGCGGUUGUACGAGCACCUCCAGAAGUUUUUAAAAGCCAAUGGUGGGAAAAAAGUGUCUGUUGGCAUUAUUACACCAUACAAACUGCAACUAAAGUGUCUUCAGCGAGAGUUUGAGGAUGUUUUGAAUUCAGAGGAGGGGAAGGAUAUUUACAUAAACACUGUUGAUGCUUUCCAAGGCCAGGAACGUGAUGUCAUCAUUAUGUCGUGCGUUCGUGCCUCAAACCAUGGAGUGGGAUUUGUUGCUGAUAUACGACGCAUGAAUGUGGCUCUUACCCGAGCUAGGAGGGCACUAUGGGUUGUGGGCAAUGCGAAUGCUCUGAUGCAAUCAGAUGACUGGGCUGCACUGAUAGGGGAUGCCAAAUCGAGGAAAUGUUUCGUGGACAUGGACAGCAUCCCUAAGGAGUUAUUAGUUAUGAAGGGAUCUUCUAACACCCCAGGCAAAAAUUCCACUAGCAACAUGAGGAGCUCGAGGAGUGGUGGGCUAAGAUAGACACAAUCAGACUUGCUCCCUGAAUCCAAGUAUUGGAUGCAGCACAAAAGGGAUGACGAGUUGAAUUCUUAUCUUCCCAUACAUUUAUGAAAUUCGAUAAUCUGGCCCGCGCUUCAGCGACAGGUGUCAAGAUGCGUCACCGCAUGGCGUUGCUAAGAGGCUGAGAUCUUUGUUUAUCUUGGAGGCUGAAAGAUUUAGUGUGGUUUUGGUGGUCUGCAUAUAUUAAUCACUGAAGUGAUGCACGGAGACUGGUGGAGCUUUGGGGAUGCUUUUGUGCGUGAUGUGGGCAUUGCUACAGUGGCAGGGUUAGAAGACAUGCAGGCUGUUGGAAAGAAUGCUUAAAUGCCAAGUCUGAGAAACUGGAGCGUGCUGAAACGAGGAGGUGCUAAAUGUUGUAUGUGACAUCAAUUGAUAAAUGUCCAGUGGUCGAAGACCAUGGAGAUUGAAUUCUUCAUUUGCCCUCGGAGACUACCCGCCGGGCCCGAACUUCAGUUGCAGGCGAGAGGUGAACGGAAAUUCUGUUUCUCAAAGCUUGCGCAGCCGAGAGCCUCGUCAGAGAGGUACUACUGCUUUGCGAAGGCUCAUAAUCUGUACAGACAUGAAAAUUUUAGAUUUACAGGCUGUAGCAGGCAUUUUGCCCUAGUUACUACACGAGCGCCGUUGAUAUUUAACUUCUUAGGGUUUUAGGGUGAAUUCAUUUGCUGUUGUUAGGAGGGUGAAUGCGUUCGGAACCAUGCCUCGCCCGACUGUCGAAUGCUGAUAAAUGUGUUGUGCAUAUUUGGCGGCCUGUGGCAUCGCAGGGAUGAUACCCUUCAUUUGUAAACACACAGGACAUGCAUCAAUUCUCGGACAGAAACUUUUCAAGCAGAGCAUGAGCACCAGUAAUUGCGGUGAGCCCAUCAUGGGUUGUUAAGCUUCCAUAAUAAAGUCAUAACUCGGUAUUAAUUACAAGUACUAGAAUAUUACCACGACUAUGAAGCCCUAAUUGCCUAGAAUUCUUAGGGAACCUUUGGCAAGGUUUCUUGUUUCACUAUAUACACGUCUUUUUUCCAACUUAUUGUUGGAAAGUUUGCAUCUUGUAUUGCAAUCGGAUGCUUGAGUGGCAGAAACGCACGAGGACUUACUUGAUUUGGUUCUUUGGACAAGUCUUAAGACCUCCCAGCAGAAGUUACUUUGGCUUCACUUAAACUUCAUGAAUUUUGCGUUCGACUAGCGUACUAAAUUGUUGAAAAUUAGGAACUCAAUUUUCAGUCAAAUGUACCAAAUAGUCGGUUAUAAUUCAGAGUAAUAAAACCUCUUUAUUAAGUUUUA